GUGGGGAAUAUUGCGCAAUGGGGGAAACCCUGACGCAGCAACGCCGCGUGAAGGAAGAAGGUCUUCGGAUUGUAAACUUUUGUUGGCAGGGAAGAAAGAAAUGACAGUACCUGCCGAGGAAGCUCCGGCUAACUACGUGCCAGCAGCCGCGGUAAUACGUAGGGAGCAAGCGUUGUCCGGAAUUACUGGGUGUAAAGGGUGCGUAGGCGGGUAUGCAAGUCAUAUGUGAAAUACCGGGGCUCAACUCCGGGGCUGCAUAAGAAACUGUAUAUCUUGAGUACAGGAGAGGUAAGCGGAAUUCCUAGUGUAGCGGUGAAAUGCGUAGAUAUUAGGAGGAACACCAGUGGCGAAGGCGGCUUACUGGACUGAAACUGACGCUGAGGCACGAAAGCGUGGGGAGCAAACAGGAUUAGAAACCCGUGUAGUCC
rnacentral:rRNA from 1 species